rnacentral:lncRNA from 1 species
AGCUCAGGGAUGGUGGAGGUUGCGAGGGAGAUAGAGUGUAGGACUUUAUGGCCUGAAGAUGAGCUCUGGAUGGGAUAAAUAAUAAAUAUAAAUCUUUGGAAGUAAAGACCAAUGUAGAAACCACUUUCGGUCACUGGAAUUUUUUAUUUAAAUGUUUACAAAACAUGAAUGUUUCAUAAUGAAACAUGAAUGAAAUUGUUUGUUUACUUAAAUGUUUAUGAAACAUAAAAAUAGUUUGCUAUAUUGAGAUAUUGUCUUGCUUUAGGAUAUUACCUAGAAAUAUUUCACAGUAUUUAAUAUUUUCUUUCCAUGCCUAAGGUGCUAAUAAAUAGAAAGGCAUUUGUAGUUUUUAGUUUUAUUUGCCCUUUGAGUCAAGGGAUUUCUAAACAUUUGAAUCUUUAGGUUUCAAAAAACAGACAUGGAACAUUGCCCAGUAGUAAAGUAUAAUAGUAGUAAUGGUAGUUAUAAAAAAUAGUGAUAAAACAAAAUUUGUAAUCAGUUAAAGAGAGAGGGUUAUUUGUCAUAAUAGUCUUUGCAAUGAAUUAUAAUGGUUUUUUAUUUCAAAUAGGAGAUUGUGAUGAUAAAAAAAAUUCUAAAAUUAGUUUAUAUUGUUCCAUACCUGAAUAACAAUAAAGGAUAUAGUAAAACUUCACUUAGGUAAGAAAACAAUUUUUUCUUUCUGAUAAUACCAUGGAUUGCUUUUGGAAACAAAUGUAUGCCACAGAAUAAGAUAAAUGUAAUAUAAUGUUAGAAAGGAAGAAAAGAAACUGGAGUUAAGGAAAAAACAUAUCCUUUUAAGACACAAAUGUGAAAAAUUCUCAAAAUGCUUAUAAAAUAUCCUUAAAGCCCAACUUCACUUGUAACAUUUACUGUGGAAACAAGGACCAGUUUUCUUCAAGUCUUAGGUUUUCAUGAAGCGCUGCCUGAAAUAUACUGCAGUGGCCCAGUCCCCACAGCAUGGACUUAAAGGAAGACCCUUCUCUGAGUUACAACUUCUAUGAUGUCUUUCCUCUUCUUACCAGGUUUCAACCAACUGAUUCUCCAAAUGUGCCUCUGUGCUUAGCCUCCAAAUCAGCCCAACUCUUCACCUGCUGAUCUUCCAACCCUUCUUUCUAGAGUGUCUGGUGUUAUCUGAAGUAUGAGGCGGAGGAUCUGUUAGGCUCU